GGAUCCUACCUGGAGUGUGGUGCAAUUGUGUUUAAAAUCUAUUGGGUGACAUUCAUAUUCUCACAUGGACAAGUAGAUAUAAAAAUAGGGUGGGGAAGGUAUUGGCAUGGCAUUUAAUUUCAGAACUCCUGAACCAGGAUGAAAUUUUAGAGUAGGAAAAAUAUGCUGCCAAAUUACUAAACCAAGAUAUAGUGGUGAAAAAUUGGC
rnacentral:misc_RNA from 1 species